UACGAGGGGGGCGAGCGUUGUUCGGAAUUAUUGGGCGUAAAGGGUGCGUAGGCGGUUUGGUAAGUCUUAUGUGAAAUCUAUGGGCUCAACUCAUAGUCUGCAUGAGAAACUGCCGGGCUUGAGUAUGGGAGAGGUGAGUGGAAUUCCUGGUGUAGCGGUGAAAUGCGUAGAUAUCAGGAGGAACACCUGUGGCGAAAGCGGCUCACUGGACCAUAACUGACGCUGAUGCACGAAAGCUAGGGGAGCAAACGGG
rnacentral:rRNA from 1 species